rnacentral:rRNA from 1 species
GACGAACGCUGGCGGCGUGCUUAACACAUGCAAGUCGAACGGAAAGGCCCUGCUUGCAGGGUACUCGAGUGGCGAACGGGUGAGUAACACGUGGGUGAUCUGCCCUGCACUUCGGGAUAAGCCUGGGAAACUGGGUCUAAUACCGGAUAGGAGCCAUUUUUAGUGUGAUGGUUGGAAAGUUUUUUCGGUGUAGGAUGAGCUCGCGGCCUAUCAGCUUGUUGGUGGGGUAAUGGCCUACCAAGGCGGCGACGGGUAGCCGGCCUGAGAGGGUGGACGGCCACACUGGGACUGAGAGACGGCCCAGACUCCUACGGGAGGCAGCAGUGGGGAAUAUUGCACAAUGGGCGCAAGCCUGAUGCAGCGACGCCGCGUGGGGGAUGACGGCCUUCGGGUUGUAAACUCCUUUCGCUAGGGACGAAGCUUUUUGUGACGGUACCUAAAUAAGAAGCACCGGCUAACUACGUG